CUCGUAGGUGGUCCGCCGCGUCCGCUGUGAAAAUCCAGGGCUUAACCCUGGACUUGCGGUGGAUACGGGCGAACUAGAGGUAGGUAGGGGAGAAUGGAAUUCCCGGUGUAGCGGUGAAAUGCGCAGAUAUCGGGAGGAACACCGGUGGCGAAGGCGGUUCUCUGGGCCUUACCUGACACUGAGGAGCGAAAGCGUGGGGAGCGAACAGGAUUAGAUACCCUGGUAGUCCACGCCGUAAACGUUGGGCGCUAGGUGUGGGGUCCUUCCACGGAUUCCGUGCCGCAGCUAACGCAUUAAGCGCCCCGCCUGGGGAGUACGGCCGCAAGGCUAAA
rnacentral:rRNA from 1 species